rnacentral:tRNA from 1 species
UCCAGAGUAGCUCAAUGGUAGAGCAAUCGGCUGUUAACCGAUGGGUUGUAGGUUCGAGCCCUACCUCUGGAGCCA